UUCCAAGGAACUAACUAAAGAUGCCUCACAAGGCCAGAGACAGCUUGGCUGGAAGGAAAACUGAAACACAGCUGUUGAAAAGUGCUUUCUAGAGAAGUCCUAGAAGCAGCAAGUUCUGUACUCCCCUAAGUAAGUUCACUGAGAUGAGGAACACAGAGUGAGAAAUCAAUACAGAAGGGGAGAUUGGUUCAUUUUUGGAUACUUUGAAUUUGUGAUGCCUGUAGGACAUCCGGCGAUAGGAACAGUGGGAAAAGAAAAAAUAAUAAGGAUGCGUAUUCUGUCUCUACUCUGAAAGUCUUCUAAGUGGUAGUGCUGGGCAGCAUCCUUCUCCAAAAAUGAUGGAUUCUAUCAUCCGUCCGGUCUUCUCAGAGCAUUUAGGGGUAAGAUUGCCCCUGUGCCAAUGUAGCAGUAAGAAAGAAGGCAGGACUCAAUGAAAGCUGAUUUCCUGGAUCUGUCCCUGUGGGGAAAAUGUCCUGUGACUUGUAUCAGAGCCUUGCCAAGGAACAUACUUCAAAGCAGUCUUCUUUUAAAAAGGAUGCCCAGAAAUGUCAGGGAGCCGGGAAAACCGGUCCGGACCUGCUCACGCACUGCUGGGGACAGUGAGCAGCCUGGCUCUGGAAAGACUGAGGAGUUCACGGUCACUCAUGCGGCCCAAUUAUUCAUGUUCACAGGUCCUUUGUGUAAAAGAGAGCCAGCGUUCCAAAAGCAAACGGGUGACUUUGAAAAUGUGACAUUGAACAAGCUGUUGCUGAGGGUCCAUUGUGCUGAGCCCACACAGAAUAGAAGGUGAAAGUGUGGUCCCCAUAGUGCGGGGGGGCAGUUAUGAUCUGGUGUGGUCGCCUGGUUUAACAAGUCCUGAUGGCAUGAGAACAAAUGUACAGGCACAGGGUGAGCAAAAAGCU